CAGCCGCAAGAUAAGGACUCCAUUGAGGGUCGUCACAGACGAUGACGUUGAUAGGGUGCAGGUGUAAAGACGGUGACGUCAAAGCCGAGCACUACUAAUUGCCCGAAUGCUUUUGCCGU
rnacentral:rRNA from 1 species